GUGUCAGCAGCCGCGGUAAUACGUAGGCAGCAAGCGUUGUUCGGAGUUACUGGGCGUAAAGGGUGCGUAGGCGGUCCUUUAAGUUUGGUGUGAAAUCUCCCGGCUUAACUGGGAGGGUGCGCCGGAUACUGAGGGACUAGAGUGCGGGAGGGGAGAGUAGAAUUCCUGGUGUAGCGGUGAAAUGCGUAGAUAUCAGGAGGAAUACCGGUGGUGUAAACGGCUCUCUGGACCGUAACUGACGCUGAGGCACGAAAGCGUGGGUAGCAAACAGGAUUAGAAACCCUGGUAGUCC
rnacentral:rRNA from 1 species